rnacentral:rRNA from 1 species
GACGAACCGAGCGAACGUUGUUCGGAAUCACUGGCUUAAAGGGCGCGUAGGCGGGUGCUCAAGUCUGUGGUGAAAUCCUCCAGCUUAACUGGAGAACUGCCAUGGAUACUGGGUGUCUCGAGGAAGAUAGGGGUAUGCGGAACGAUUGGUGGAGCGGUGAAAUGCGUUGAUAUCAAUCGGAACUCCGGUGGCGAAGGCGGCAUACUGGAUCUUAUCUGACGCUGAGGCGCGAAGCUAGGGAGCAAACGGG